GUCCAGACUCCUACGGGAGGCAGCAGUGGGGAAUAUUGCACAAUGGGGGAAACCCUGAUGCAGCGACGCCGCGUGAAGGAAGAAGUAUUUCGGUAUGUAAACUUCUCUCAGCAGGGAAGAAAAUGACGGUACCUGACUAAGAAGCCCCGGCUAACUACGUGCCAGCAGCCGCGGUAAUACGUAGGGGGCAAGCGUUAUCCGGAAUUACUGGGUGUAAAGGGAGCGCAGACGGCAGUGCAAGUCUGGAGUGAAAGCCCGUGGCUUAACUACGGGACUGCUCUGGAAACUGUGCAGCUAGAGUGCAGGAGAGGCAGGCGGAAUUCCUAGUGUAGCGGUGAAAUGCGUAGAUAUUAGGAGGAACACCGGUGGCGAAGGCGGCCUGCUGGACUGUAACUGACGUUGAGGCUCGAAAGCGUGGGGAGCAAACAGGAUUAGAUACCCGCGUAAC
rnacentral:rRNA from 1 species